rnacentral:rRNA from 1 species
UACGUAGGGGGCAAGCGUUGUCCGGAAUCAUUGGGCGUAAAGAGCGUGUAGGCGGCCCGGUAAGUCCGCUCUGAAAGUCCAGGGCUCAACCCUGGAAUGCGGGUGGAUACUGCCGGGCUAGAAUCCGGAAGAGGCGAGUGGAAUUCCUGGUGUAGCGGUGGAAUGCGCAGAUAUCAGGAGGAACACCAAUAGCGAAGGCAGCUCGCUGGGACGGUAUUGACGCUAAGGCGCGAAAGCGUGGGGAGCAAACAGG